GGCCGCGGUACCCUAACCGUGCGAAGGUAGCAUAAUCACUUGUUCUUUAAAUGAGGACUAGUAUCAACGGCAUCACGAGGGUUAAACUGUCUCCUUUCUCUAAUCAAUGAAACUGAUCUUCCCGUGAAGAAGCGGGAAUUAAUUUAUAAGACGAGAAGACCCCAUGGAGCUUUAAACCCAAUUACAUCCCUAUAUUUUAUUCCCUUUUAAUCUUUAAGGCCCUGUACAUCUGGUUUUAGGUUUGGGGGGACCGCGGAACCAAAAAAAAGCCCCCCCGAUGAAAGGGAAAUUAUCUCCUUAUCUAAAUUUUACUUUUCUAAGAAUUAAUAUCUUAACAUUUAAUGAUCCAAUAAUUGAUCAACGAACCAAGUUACCCUGGGGAUAACAGCGCAAUCCACUUCAAGAGCUCCUAUCGACAAGUGGGUUUACGACCUCGAUGUUGGAUCAGGGUAUCCUAGUGGUGCAGCAGUUACUAAAGGUUCGUUUGUUCAACGAUUAAAACCCUACAUGAUC
rnacentral:rRNA from 1 species